rnacentral:rRNA from 1 species
CUACGGGCUGCUGCAGUGGGGAAUUUUGCGCAAUGGGGGAAACCCUGACGCAGCAAUACCGCGUGAGUGAAGAAGGCCUUUGGGUCGUAAAGCUCUUUUAUUAGUGAAGAUAGUGACGGUAGCUAAUGAAUAAGCACCGGCUAACUCCGUGCCAGCAGCCGCGGUAAUACGGAGGGUGCAAGCGUUGUUCGGAUUCACUGGGCGUAAAGGGCGCGUAGGCGGCACCAUAAGUUAAGGGUGAAAUCCCGGGGCUCAACCCCGGAACUGCUCUUAAAACUGUGGAGCUAGAGAUAGUCAGAGGCGGGUGGAAUUCCUAGUGUAGAGGUGAAAUUCGUAGAUAUUAGGAGGAACACCGGUGGCGAAGGCGGCCCGCUGGGGCUUAUCUGACGCUAAGGCGCGAAAGCGUGGGGAGCAAACGGGAUUAGAUACCCGUGUAGUC